UUCGACAGCGAUUUUUCUUUAUCCUCUUUGGAAGAAAAGACACCUGGUAGAGGGACAUUUGAUUCAGGAAGGCGGAAUCUGCAGCCUCCAGGUGGGUCCCAGUCCACUGGUCGACAAAGUCCUGUACUGCAGUUUAAAAGACCUCAGCCCCAGUCCACACGCGUGGAGGCUUUUACGCAUGACGACUUCUCCGAUUUAGAAGACGACUGAGAUUGAUAUGCGCAUGCACCUUCUAUAAAUCCUGGUAAAUGUCAGGUGUAAUUUAUGUAUGACGAGACCAUGAGACUUGCGACGAUAUCGAUCGUGAAAUAAUAUAAACAAAACACUUUUCUACUGAAAAAAAGCUAACCAAGUUAUCUUUCCCUAGAAAAUAAUUUUCUAUUGAAGUCUUUGCUGUAAAGUAUCAAAACGUUCCAUUUGGGUCAGAGGAAUUUUCUACUAUUGUUAGGUGUAAAAAAAUUAUCCUGGCGUGUUUAUAUUGAAUUUACUAAACCAAGAAACAUUUCUCUCUGAACGGUUCUUAUGGCCAAUCAGAUAUGAUUGCACGUGACUAAUAACUUGUUCAGUUGACCACGUUUCUGGAUCGAUCAGAGGAGAGGCCCUGAGGACAAGGGUGUUUCUUAGCAACUGUUAUGGAAAUUCGGAAUGGUGACGGGAGUGUUUUUCCUUUAAUAACAACCCGUUCCCUUUUCAAUGUAUUUCGCAAGGUUGUGGUAGUGGUAAUUUGCUGUAAGAAUUUCUAAAGUGCCAUUAAAAUAUACUUUACCAUC